rnacentral:lncRNA from 1 species
UUUAGGUAUUGUCUGUCUCCUAUUAGAGACAUUCUGGUUUUUAGUCUGGCUGUUCUUUUUUCAAAGCUUUUGAAAAAAGUUUAUCUGGCUUUAAAGGUUAUACGUAUAUUACUUAUUGCUCUAAAUCUGUUUUUCUGUUCCACAAAGGAUAAUUCCUUUGAAGGCUUGGGCUUUUUUUGCCCCUAAAACAUUUUCUUCCGUGUGCUACUCCUUCUUACAACUAUCAUUUGUUUCUCACGUGAGAUUAAAAUAUUCUUCAAUUUUUACCAUCAUAUUUUCUUAAAAUAUUGAUGAAAUUACACUUGUGGCAGGGCUGAUAUAUUUUUUUAAAAUAAUUGUAGUUUUUCUUGUUCAAGAAGAACUUACUGUUGUUUUUUUCCUUGUAUUUUAUUAUUUUCAGAAGAAGGGAAUAGGGCUUGACUCUAGUUUGAAGCAACACUACUCAGCACAUGCAUUAUGAAUUUUUUAAUUUGCUUAAAAAUAAGUCAAUACUAAAUGGUUUCUUCUGCUUGCUUAAGUAGUAUGGAAGGAUGGUGAAUUUGUCUAUUUGUAUGUCUGCAUGUGAAUGUAGGUCUGUAUGUGUGACUGGGUGUGUGUGCACCAUUCUGGGUGUUAUCUUUGUCCUGAUAUCCUCUGACAGUUUUGUUGGUUCUUCGUUCAUCAUGUCCAGUUAAAUAACAAGUAAAGUUAAUUAACCAGCUAACUAUAGAGAGAAAUUAUAAUAACCAACAGGGUAAAAAACAAAGCAAUAUUUUUUUUCUGCUUUAAUUGCUGCUUUGUAUCAUUUACCGUUCAUCAAAUAAGCAAUUUUUUUUCUAUUUUAACUUCAAAUUUAAUGUUUCUGGAAAAAGUGUUUUCAGAUUUCCUUAUAUGCACCUAUUAAAGGAUCCCCACCUCCACUCCUCAACUUUUUUUACAAGGUAUUUGGAUUAUGUAUUCUACAUGGAACAAUUCUUUGUAUUUCCAUUUCUUAACCUUAUAACAUAUUUUUAUUAACUUCUACUUUACUCUUGGUUCUUAUGUUAUUUAAAAGCUGUCCUUAUCAUCCUAAACAUACAUAUUAAUACUCCUUUUACUUUGGCCUCAGAAGCAGCAAUGCUUUUAGGGGAUUACUUCUGUCUUCAGUUUGAAUCAGCAGUUCAAGUCUCUGUAGUGUGGAGUUACAAUUGUGGUCUGGACACUGGCUUGGAAAACCC